AGAACGGCGGACUGUUAAUCCGUAUGUCGCUGGUUCGAGUCCAGCUGGAGGAG
rnacentral:tRNA from 1 species